rnacentral:tRNA from 1 species
GGUGAGGUGGCCGAGUGGUUGAAGGCGCACGCCUGGAACGCGUGUAUGGGUGAAAGCCCAUCGAGGGUUCGAAUCCCUCUCUCACCGCCA